rnacentral:rRNA from 1 species
AUACGAAGGGGGCAAGCGUUGUUCGGAAUAACUGGGCGUAACGCGCACGUAGGCGGAAUGUUAAGUUAGAGGUGAAAUCCCAGGGCUCAACCUUGGAACGGCCUUUAAUACUGGCAAUCUAGAGAACGAGAGAGGUGAGUGGAAUUCCGAGUGUAGAGGUGAAAUUCGUAGAUAUUCGGAGGAACACCAGUGGCGAAGGCGGCUCACUGGCUCGGUACUGACGCUGAGGUGCGAAAGCGUGGGGAGCAAACAGGAUUAGAAACCCUUGUAGUCC